UGAGCAAUCUGCCCUUCUCUUCGGAAUAAGCGUUGGAAACGACGUCUAAUGCCGAAUACGACCUCCUUUCGCAUGAUCGGAGGUGGAAAGCUCCGGCGGAGAAGGAUGAGCUCGCGGCCUAUCAGCUAGUUGGUGUGGGUAAUGGCCCACCAAGGCGACGACGAGUAGCCGGCCUGAGAGGGUGACCGGCCACACUGGGACUGAGACACGGCCCAGACUCCUACGGGAGCAG
rnacentral:rRNA from 1 species